GCUGAGCACCGGCGUCUGAGCUGGGGAGGAGCGGGUCUGAGCGAGGACCGCGAGGGCACAGGGAAAGGGAGAGGGGUAUCUUUGCCAGGAAUUUGAGCUGUGGGUCUGCGUCCUGGCCAUUGCAAGUCCUUUAGCAUCCUCGCCGCGCCCUGAGCGCGCUCGAGGCUCACAGGCUGCGCCCUCCCAGGGCUGAUGCCGCGUCCUGCUCCGCUGUUCUGGGACGUCGGGGACAAAAGUGGAGGAGACGGGAGAGCCCGGGCAGAAAAAGCAGGACGCGCGUCCCAGACAUUACUGCUGUUCGCAGACACCUGCUUUUGCUGUCCUGGGCAUCCAUGAAGAGUGUUCUCCUCUUCUUGAAGCUUGGUAUGGUCAUCUGAUUGAUCUGAUCGGGGCACGCACUUAUAGGGCAGAUCUCCUAUAGACAGCAUGGCUCUUGC